rnacentral:rRNA from 1 species
CGGGUGAGUAACGCGUGGGUAACCUGCCCUUUUGUGGGGAACAACUUCGAGAAAUCGGAGCUAAUACCGCAUAAUAAUAGAGGAUCGCAUGAUUCUUUAAGGAAAGAUGGCCUCUGAAGAUGCUAUCGCAAAAGGAUGGACCCGCGUCUGAUUAGCUAGUUGGAAGGGUAACGGCCUACCAGGGCAACGAUCAGUAGCCGGCCUGAGAGGGUGAACGGCCACAUUGGGACUGAGACACGGCCCAAACUCCUACGGGAGGCAGCAG